AUACCGGUGGCGAAGGCGGCCCCCUGGACAAAGACUGACGCUCAGGUGCGAAAGCGUGGGGAGCAAACAGGAUUAGAUACCCUGGUAGUCCACGCCGUAAACGAUGUCUACUUGGAGGUUGUGCCCUUGAGGCGUGGCUUCCGGAGCUAACGCGUUAAGUAGACCGCCUGGGGAGUACGGCCGCAAGGUUAAAACUCAAAUGAAUUGACGGGGGCCCGCACAAGCGGUGGAGCAUGUGGUUUAAUUCGAUGCAACGCGAAGAACCUUACCUGGUCUUGACAUCCACAGAACUUUCCAGAGAUGGAUUGGUGCCUUCGGGAACUGUGAGACAGGUGCUGCAUGGCUGUCGUCAGCUCGUGUUGUGAAAUGUUGGGUUAAGUCCCGCAACGAGCGCAAC
rnacentral:rRNA from 2 species